rnacentral:misc_RNA from 1 species
GUAGGUGAACCUGCGGAAGGAUCAUUACAACGUAUCCACGUAUCAACCAAAUGUGAACCUCCCAUCCAGAGCAAAACUUAGUGCGUCGUCAAUGGCCGAACUGUUAAAGUGGCGCUUUCACAGAUGGAGGUGUCUGGACCUAACCGUCUGGCCUCUGAAAGCGUCCGUUCUGUCGUCAGCUCUCAGAGUUGAGGCGUCCUUUUGCUCCAGAUGCGGUAUCAAUGUCCGCCCAUCUGCGGUCGAAUUGUUG